UCAUGUAAUGACUAUAUCAUUAAUACACCAAAUCCCAUCAGAAAUCCACAGUUUAGCAUGCUUGGGAUAUAGUAGUACUGGGAUGGGUGACCUCUCGAUAAGUCUUAGUGUUUUACAUGCU
rfam:Picea glauca, whole genome shotgun sequence.